rnacentral:rRNA from 1 species
GACGAACCGAGCGAACGUUGUUCGGAAUCACUGGGCUUAAAGGGCGCGUAGGCGGGCAUUCAAGUCUGUGGUGAAAUCCUCCAGCUCAACUGGAGAACUGCCAUGGAUACUGGGUGUCUCGAGGGUGGUAGGGGUAUGCGGAACUAUCGGUGGAGCGGUGAAAUGCGUUGAUAUCGAUAGGAACUCCGGUGGCGAAGGCGGCAUACUGGACCACAUCUGACGCUGAGGCGCGAAAGCCAGGGGAGCGAACGGGG